UACGGAGGGUGCAAGCGUUAUCCGGAUUCACUGGGUUUAAAGGGUGCGUAGGAGGACAGGUAAGUCAGUGGUGAAAUCUCCGAGCUUAACUUGGAAACUGCCGUUGAUACUAUCUGCCUUGAAUAUUGUGGAGGUGAGCGGAAUAUGUCAUGUAGCGGUGAAAUGCUUAGAUAUGACAUAGAACACCAAUUGCGAAGGCAGCUCGCUACACAUAUAUUGACGCUGAGGCACGAAAGCGUGGGGAUCAAACAGG
rnacentral:rRNA from 1 species